UUGGCCUCUCACUUGAAUCACCCUGCUAAAAGGAAGCUAAAAGUUGCAUUAUUAUGUAUUCUGAAUAUUAACACACUGCAACUUCGAGGACCUCAGGAGCAUUUUAUCUACUAACCAAUAGCAUAUUCCAAGGUUAACAUUGAGGAAAAGAGACUUUAUGGUUUCUUGCAGACUUUCCAGCAAGGCUUAAUUCCACUGAAAUCAGUGCCUUGGGGCAAUAUCUGUUUUGCCAGCCACCUGUAAGUAUAUUAUAACUUUUGAUUCUGAGUUC
rnacentral:lncRNA from 1 species